UCGGACGGAUGUCAUAGUUCAAACUGGUACUAGUAUGUUCUUAUAAGGACUAAAUAUGAAUUCGUCUCUUACUCUGCAACAUUCACUGAGUAGUGGGGGAGCCUUUUUGAAAAUUUGGCAUAAGGCAGCCUCUUCUGGCACAGUAUGCUUCAGGUUUAUACUUCUGAACACUUCCCAUGUACUGUAGUACCAAAAUGACCAUCGGCAUAGAGGAAUGACAUACUCCAAAGAUUUCUGGAGCUGUUUCUUUCCGCCCUUCAUGGCCAAACUCUCAGCCUCAUCCAGACGAUGCUGAAGGUCCUUGACUGUGACCUCCAGGUUCUUCUUCAUCCUCUCCAGCAUUCCUUGCUUCUUGGAUGGUGUCUUCCACCUCUCCUUGGACUUGGACAAGGUCAUACCUCCUCUCCAUCAUCUUCACAAACUCCCUCCUCAUGACGUAACCUCGGCACAAGGCCUGAGUCAUGGUG